CUGGUGAGGGAAGGAGAAAUGAGAAACUGGGCACAUCAAUAAGGCCGUUUGGACUUCCUCACAGCAUGCUGCAUGAUGACUGCAAAAUCAAGCAUUCUAAGAGAACAAAGGAGAGGAUUUAGGCCAAAAUGCAUGACAUUGUUAUGACCUAGCUUGAGAAGUAAUAUACUUUCACUUGUGUCAGAUUCGAUUGGUCUGCUCAGGUUCAAGAGGAGUGGACAGAGAUUUAUAUCUUGAGUCGCUGCUGAAGAUUUUGGAGAUUUUGAUCAAGGAAGAUUUUGGGCUUUUGGCAAGUUGGGAUUCUGAGUCGGGUAAGAGUUCCUCAGGGAGCCAUGAAGGGAGGACUUCUGGUGGAGGACUGUAUCACACAGAGAUACUUACAAGUCAUUGCUCUGGGGUUUAGUUAAAAGAAAUACAGAUCCUAAUGUUAUGAAUGUAUAAUGUUUGUUCUGCAAAGGAUUCUAGAAAGCCUCAACUCCUUUAAAACUCAAACAUAACUCAGGGUGGUAGCUGAUAUGCCAAAUUUUAGUGGGCAUAAUUUGAAAUGGAUGAGAAAUUAUCACAGGUGUUAACAGGUCCAAAUGCAGUGCAGUAGUAAAGCACCAAAGAGCUCACAAAGGACUUGAAAGAUGCUUGAUGUAGCAUGUUGAUGGCUGCCAAAUAGCAUCUGUCCUCAAAACUGCCUGACCAGGAAACGUUAUGCCAAAUUUGAAAGCUUAUGAAUGUUAGUCAAAGAAAAAGCCUUGCAUACUGCAUUUUAUUUGCAAUUAUGCAGAACCACAGAUUUAUAUUAUAACUAAUUAAUUUUUGAUCAAGGACAUCUGCCUCAGUAAAAACAAAGGAGCAUAAAGAAGUCAUAGAUCUUAAAACUUUUUUCAAUUUAACAAUCCUUGAGGGCAAAAAUCAGGUUCAAGACAUAACUUAUUUUUAUUGUUAUGAAACCCAGCCUUCAUUACUCUGCUGAUGCACUUACAGAGGAAACUUUAUGACCAUCACAGGUAUCUUUAUAGGAAGCAGAUCAUUUUCUUAAAGAAAAAUGUUGAUGACUUUGGCUGCUCUAAGCUUCAGUGGUCUCUGUCCACAGGCUGCAGCACUGGAAAUCUUCAGUUAGUCACCCUGCCACACCUAGCACCAAGACUCUUCCCCAGGAACUCACUCCCCCUCACUAUAUCUGGUGGUCACACCCCUCCUCCUCCCACAAGAAAGGCCAGGAAUUAGUGUUUUAGCAUUUGCUAUCUCCAUUCUCCUACAGCUUCCAGACACUUCUGAAUUUCUGUCUUCUCUUAGUCUUGGUAGAACUCAUUGCACUAGUGAGGUCUUGCCAAGCUGCUGAGUGGGGUGGUUUCAUCUUUUUUGUUAAUUUGUUUUUUGUCUUCUGUAAAAUAAAGACAACAAAUAGUGCUUUUCUUAUAAGGUUGUCGUGAAUAUUAAAUUUAUAUUGUGCUAGGCACAAUCCAUGGUACAUGGUAAACAUUCAAGAAGUUAUUAUUAUUA